AGUUGGCUGCGACCAGCGGUGACUUACAAGUUGGCUGCUGUCGCCUGCGCAUCGGCGGGCCGGGAGGCUGAGCAGUACUGUUGAGAGCGGUGUGAGGUGCUUGGUAGCGCGCCGUAGCUGCUUCCACGUCCUUGCUUCACCUCAGGUAAAGAGAGAAGUAAUGGAAGGCCUGUCUGAUGUUGCUUCUUUUGCAACUAAACUUAAAAACACUCUCAUCCAGUACCAUAGCAUUGAAGAAGAUAAGUGGCGAGUUGCUAAGAAAACGAAAGAUGUAACUGUUUGGAGAAAACCCUCAGAAGAAUUUAAUGGAUAUCUAAUUGCUGUGUGAUGCGUUACACUACUGCUGGUCAGCUUUGGAAUAUAAUUUCCCCAAGAGAAUUUGUUGAUUUCUCCUAUACUGUGGGCUAUAAAGAAGGGCUUUUAUCUUGUGGUAAUAAUCUCAACAUGUUAUGCUUUUUUUCAGUAUGGUUUAAAUAUUUGUGUUUUCUUGGCUGGAUGUCUCUUUCCUUGUGAGAUAUAUUUUCAACUCUGACUCUGUAAUCACUAACAUUUUUUGCAAGUGCUAAACUCUAGGGAGUAAAAUAGCAAUAUCAAAAGAGUUUUGAAACCCUUCUGAUAAGUUUUUGUUCCCAGUUACACAGUAUCCUCUAGGUCAGAGGUAGCAAAUGUGGAUCACAUGACUGCCUCUAAGAAAGGGUUCUAGUAAAUGGAUUUUCUUCUAAGCCACUCUCAGAAAACAGUUUCUUGGUCAUACACAGAGAAGUACUAGAUUUGGUGUGUCUUAGAAUAUUCUUCCUUCCUUGAGCUGUGUUGUAUUUUUCUUUUCAAGAUUAAAAAUACUGCCAUUGGAAGGCUCCUGUUUUCUAAAACGUACCUAUAGGUAAAUUAAUAUUAUUUUGUAUAUAGUGUAUACUUAAGUUAGCAGUUGUAAGUAAACAUCUACUUGUUUAUUCUUAACUAGCCAGUACCAAACUAUAAUAUGGUAGUCGCUGUGGGGAAUAGUUACGGUACCAUGGAUUUGAUUUUUGGCACCUCAAGGCCUGGAUACUACAACCAAGAUUUGUAGCUUCCAAGGAGUACUAAGAUGAUAUGAUGUCAUGUAUUCUGAAAGGAUUAAAAGUUUCCCCAUUACCUAUCUGCCAACCUCUUGUCAGAAUUCUCCUUGGUAAGUCUCUUUUUCACUCUG
rnacentral:lncRNA from 1 species